CGCCUAAACCCUGAGUAAUCAGGGCAUGGUGAAAGAACCGAUGAGAGGCAAAAAGCUCCUAGUCAGAGCACUCUCAUCGGUCAUGUCUCGAAAGGGAUAUGGGUGCCGCAAGACAUC
rnacentral:sRNA from 1 species